UGACCCGUACGGGAUUCGAACCCGUGUUACCGCCGUGAAAGGGCGGUGUCUUAACCGCUUGACCAACGGGCC
rnacentral:tRNA from 2 species